UAAAAGCUUAGGUUAAUUAAACCAAGGGCCUUCAAAGCCCUAAAUAAGGAUUUUUCCCCUUAGCUUUUG
rnacentral:tRNA from 1 species